AGGGAAUCUUCCGCAAUGGGCGAAAGCCUGACGGAGCAACGCCGCGUGAGUGAUGAAGGUCUUCGGAUCGUAAAACUCUGCUAUUAGGGAAGAACAUAUGUGUAAGUAACUGUGCACAUCUUGACGGUACCUAAUCAGAAAGCCACGGCUAACUACGUGCCAGCAGCCGCGGUAAUACGUAGGUGGCAAGCGUUAUCCGGAAUUAUUGGGCGUAAAGCGCGCGUAGGCGGUUUUUUAAGUCUGAUGUGAAAGCCCACGGCUCAACCGUGGAGGGUCAUUGGAAACUGGAAAACUUGAGUGCAGAAGAGGAAAGUGGAAUUCCAUGUGUAGCGGUGAAAUGCGCAGAGAUAUGGAGGAACACCAGUGGCGAAGGCGACUUUCUGGUCUGUAACUGACGCUGAUGUGCGAAAGCGUGGGGAUCAAACAGGAUUAGAUACCCUGGUAGUCCACGCCGUAAACGAUGAGUGCUAAGUGUUAGGGGGUUUCCGCCCCUUAGUGCUGCAGCUAACGCAUUAAGCACUCCGCCUGGGGAGUACGACCGCAAGGUUG
rnacentral:rRNA from 1 species